rnacentral:lncRNA from 1 species
UUACUUCGGCCUCAAAUUAGGCCUCAAACUCCUUGGCUUAAGUGAUCCUCCUGCCUCAGCCUCCUGAGUAGCUAGAGUAGACCUACAAGCACAUGCCACCAUACCCAGGUUGCAUAUGUCACCUGCACUGUGGUCCAGGAGUCUCAAGUCACCAUCCCCACCAUGGUCAGUCGCCUGGUGACCCCAGGCAGAAACUGAUCAUCAGGGGAUCUUGGAGGUCCUGUUCUCUACGAGUGAAUAUCCUAAGGACCAUAA